rnacentral:rRNA from 1 species
UACGUAGGUGGCAAGCGUUGUCCGGAUUUAUUGGGUUUAAAGGGUGCGUAGGCGGCCCUGUAAGUCAGUUGUGAAAUACGGCAGCUUAACUGUCGAGGUGCAAUUGAUACUGCGGGACUAGAGUACUGAUGAGGUAAGCGGAAUGGACGGUGUAGCGGUGAAAUGCUUAGAUAUCGUCCAGAACACCGAUAGCGAAGGCAGCUUACUAAGGAGUAACUGACGCUGAGGCACGAAAGUGUGGGGAUCAAACAGG